rnacentral:lncRNA from 1 species
GAAAAGGACCAAAAAUCCCAAGCAAGGCCUCCAGGAUGUGCCCAAAAAAUCAAAUUUAUGGCAAACCAUGUUAGGACCAAGAGUAAUGCUAAACAUGCCAAGUUUGUGGAAAAUAAGGAUUUGAAUUUGUAGGCUAGAGUGAAAUCCCAGAGGCUUUCAAUGUCUGUUUUCAUAAUUGGGUAAUUUGAGGUUAAGAAUGAACUAGGUAGACACUAGACAUUGAGAAAGGCAGUUUGCUUUUGAGAUGUGGAAUGAGGUUUCCCGAUUUAUAUAGGGAAGAGAGCAAGUGAAAAUUUGAAGAAACAUAGGAUUGAUUAACAGUAGUAUUGUAGGACCACCUUUGACCUUAAAAUUAUCUUUACGUAAGUAU